GACGAACGCUGGCGGCGUGCUUAACACAUGCAAGUCGAACGGAGUGGCGAACGGGUGAGUAACUCGUGGGUGACCUGCCCUGCACUUCGGGAUAAGCCUGGGAAACUGGGUCUAAUACCGGAUAGUGUGGGAUGGGCCCGCGGCCUAUCAGCUUGUUGGUGGGGUAAUGGCCUACGACGGCGGCGACGGGUAGCCGGCCUGAGAGUGUGGACGGCCACAUUGGGACUGCGACACGGCCCAGAAUCCGACGGGGGGCAGCAGUGGGGAAUAUUGCACAAUGGGCGGAAGCAUGAUGCGGCGACGCCGCGUGGGGGAUGAAGGCCUUCGGGUUGUAAGCUCCGUUAGCCAUCGACGCGGUAGAUGGAGAAGAAGCACCGGCUAACUACGUGCCAGCAGCCGCGGUAAUAC
rnacentral:rRNA from 1 species